rnacentral:rRNA from 1 species
UCGGGAAUUUUGGGCAAUGGGCGAAAGCCUGACCCAGCAACGCCGCGUGUGGGAUGAAGGCCCUCGGGUCGUAAACCACUGUCAGGAGGAAAGAAAAGUCGGCCGGAUAAUACUCGGUCGACCUGACGGUACCUCCAAAGGAAGCACCGGCUAACUCCGUGCCAGCAGCCGCGGUAAUACGGAGGGUGCAAGCGUUGUUCGGAAUUACUGGGCGUAAAGCGCGUGUAGGUGGUCGAGUAAGUCGAAUGUGAAAGCCCCGGGCUCAACCCGGGAAGUGCAUCCGAAACUGCUCGACUAGAGUCCCGGAGAGGAAGGCAGAAUUCCCAAUGUAGGGGUGAAAUCCGUAGAUAUUGGGAGGAAUACCGGUGGCGAAGGCGGCCUUCUGGACGGUGACUGACACUCAGACGCGAAAGCGUGGGGAGCAAACAGGAUUAGAUACCCCUGUAGUCCCUGAGCGGGCUGGCAAGGCGCAU